ACUCAAAUGAAUAGACGGGAGCCCGCACAAGCAGUGGAGUAUGUGGUUUAAUUCGACGCAACGCGAAGAACCUUACCAGGAUUUGACAUCCCGGGAAUCCGGCGUAAUGGCUGGAGUGCCCUUCGGGGAACCCGGUGACAGGUGGUGCAUGGUUGUCGUCAGCUCGUGUCGUGAGAUGUUGGGUUAAGUCCCGCAACGAGCGCAACCCUUACGGUUAGUUGCUAGCAUGCCUAAAGGCGAUGAGCACUCUAGCCGGACUGCCGUUGACAAAACGGAGGAAGGUGGGGAUGAUGUCAAAUCAUCAUGCCCCUUAAGUUCUGGGCCACACACGUACUACAAUGGCGAAAACAAAGGGAAGCGAAGCCGCGAGGUGGAGCAAAUCCCAUAAAAGUCGUCCCAGUUCGAAUAGCAGGCUGAAACUCGCCUGCUUGAAGAUGGAAUUGCUAGUAAUCGCGGAUCAGCAUGCCGCGGUGAAUACGUUCCCGGGCUUUGCACACACCGCCCGU
rnacentral:rRNA from 1 species